rnacentral:lncRNA from 1 species
UUUUAUUACUCAAUGAAUUUUAUUACAUUUAUAGUUGUACCAUGAUCAUCACAACCCAAUUUUAUAGCAUUUCCAUCCCAAAUCCUCAGUGUAUCCCCCCACCCCUCAACCUGAUGUAGUAGUCCCACUUACUUAUUUUCGCUUUUUUGCCCUUGCUUUUGGUAGCAGAUCUACAAAAUCAUUGCUAAGACCAGUGUCAGAGAACUUAUUCCCUGUGUUUACUUCAAGAAGUUUCAUGGUUUCAGUGUUACAUUCAAAUCUUGAAUCCAUUUUGAGUUGAUUUUUGUGUAUGUUAUAAGAUGGGGUCCAAUUUCAUUCUUUUGCAAGUGAAUAUCCAUGUUUCCCAGUACUAUUUUUGGAAGAAACUAUCCUUUCCCUACUGUGGAUUUUUGGUACUUUUGUCAAAAAUUGAUUUACCAUAUAUUCAUGGGUUUAUUUCUGGGCUUUUGAUUCUGUUGUAUUUAUCUAAGUAUCUGUUUUUAUGCCAGUGCCAUUUGACCUUCUAGUGAAGAAUGGAUGUAAGGACUCAGGGAAAGAUCAUAAAGCCAAGUCUUGGCCCCAGAAUAGACUUCUAUUGGCUCCUAUCACCAUAUCUACCUACCUACCAGAAUCUGUACUCAUGUUUUCUGCCUUCUUGCUAGUUUGAAUAGAUGAAUUUCGUGUUCUCUUAACAAAACUAGUCUUUUCAAUUUUGCACUAGAUCACAACCCUUUUUAUGUCAGAAAUUCUCUCUUCCCUCUCCAUAUCAUCAAAUUUUUUUUUCCUUUUUGGUUAUUCCUUUCAGCAUACACAUUUGCUUUCUCCCAUCUUAAACCAAUCUCUUGAAUCUACUCUCCUGUGCUCCACCACUUUCCAUGUCUUUACUCUGCCUUUUGCUGCAAAACUCCAUAAAGUUGUCUACACUUGGAGUCUAAAUCCUUUUUUAAAUCCUUUUCUUUGUCUUUUGAACCCAUGUCAAUCAGACUUUUUCCACCAUGAAUCCACUGAUAUAAUUUCUGGAAAGGUCAUUGGUCACCUUUAUCUUGACACGUAGAGAAGUGAAUUCUCUUCCCUCAUCUUACUUGUUUUAGUAGGAGCAAUAUAUUCUUCUUCUUCUUUUUUUUUUUUUUUUUUUUUUUUGCUUUUUAGGGCAACACCCGUGGCAUACGGAGCUUCCCAGGCUAGGGGUCCAAUCGGAGCUACAGCUGCUGGCCUACACCACAGCCACAGCCACUCAGGAUCCAAGCCACAUCUGCGACCGACACCACAGCUCACAGCAACACCGAAUCCCUGACUGAGUGAGGUCAGGGAUCGAACCCACAACCUCAUUGUUCCUAGUCGGAUUUGUUUCCGCUGCGCCACCACGGGAACUCCAAUAUAUUCUUCUUGAAAUACUUCUAUCACUUGGCUUCCAGGAAAUCAAAUACACUUUGUCCCCCUUCCUCAGCACCUCAUUGACCAUCCCCCCUCUCUCUCUCCUUUGCUUAUCUUAUCUAUCCUCUUCUUCAUGACCUCAUAAUGUAGGAGUGCCCAGGAGCUUAGUCUUGGGUCCUCUUCUCUAUUUACACCCAUUCCCUUAGUGAUAUCAUUUAGCCUCACAUCUUUAACUACCAUCUAUAGGCCAAGGACAUCAAUGUUUCCUUUUUCAGUCUAGACCUCUGUGCCAAAUUGCAGACUUUUAUAUUCAACUCCUUAUCCAAUGUUUCUGCUUUGAUAGCUCAUAGGCAUCUCAAAUUUAACAUGUUCAAAACUGGACUCCUAAUACUUCCAAUAUCUUUGUCCUUUCAUUAAAUAGCAAAUCCCAUUUACUCAUUCACUUAUUUGGAUGAAUAACUUACACACAUUCUCAACUCUUCUUUAACAGACAAAUUUAAUCCUUCAGGUGACACUGUUUACCUUACGUUGAAAAUAUAACCAGAAUCUAACUACUUCUAUCUUCACUGCUAUCAUUGUUGCCAGAACCACCAUCUUCUCUCACCUAGAUUUUUCAAUAGGCUUCCAUCUUGUCUUCCUGCUUUCAUUCUGGUCACCCUAAAUCUAUUAUGAAUACAACAGCCAGAGUAUCCUAUUAAAACAUAAGUUGAAUAAUACCACUCAAAUAUUCAAAACCGUCAAAUACUUUGCAGGGUGAAGACUAAAGUCCUAUAAAGCAUCACUUGAUGUACUCCCAUGUAUGUCUCUGAAUUCAUUUUCUUCUCUGUCCUCAUCAUUUAUUCUUUUUCAGGCACACCAGCUGCCCUGCUCUGCCUUGAACACUUCAGUCAUGAUAGUCUUUGUAUUUGCUGUUCCCUUUUCAUAGAAUAUUCUUUCCCAAAUAUCUUAAUGAAGAUAAGAUAUUCACCCCAUUUAUGAUUUUAAUUCACCCUCUCCCCACACUUUUAUUCCCUUUGCUUUCAUGUUAUUUCUUCAUGUUAUUUUUUAUCACCUUGUAACAUACAUAUAACUUAUUUGCAUCAUGUUUGAUUUUUAUUGUCUGUUUCUCCCAAUCAGAAUGUAAGUUCUAAUGGCAGGGAUUUUUGUUUGUUUUGAUCAAUGCUGUAUCCCCAGCACUUAGAAUAGUGCCUCACACAUAGUAAGCACUCAGUAGAUAUUAUAUGAAUGAAUGAAUUGGGGAAGGCAAAUCAAAAUAAGUUAAAGUGUUUAACAGAGUUUUGAAUAUUUUGGGGCAUGUAACCAAGAGUAGUUAACUUUCUUUUAAACAUAUUAUUCAGCAUCAGUGUAAAUAAGUGUCAGUUCAUGUCAUACCAACUGCUGAGAGUAAGUGGCACUAAUAUAGGGUGCUUGUGGUGAGGCGAGACUUCCUAGAGGAGGCUACAAAACUCUGGGAGUUAUUAAUCUGACUCUUUCAUAUCUUGUUUGAUGGGUCUGGUUCUAGGAUCUUUUUCUUCCUGUCAAUGCUUCUGUUUCCCUAUGUUUCUCUUGGGCCUGGCUAAAUCCUGGAGACAAGAGUCUUUAGAGGUAGUUCUGUUUUGUGCCUCUUGCUGACAGAACUGUGAGCUCAAAAUAGAACUGGAAAGGGAAAGUCUGCUUUUCAUUUCCUAAUUUUCAUCUUAGAGGCCUCUUUGCCCCUUUGUUAGUUCUAGGGACUGGGAAGUAAACCUACAACUUCAUUUUUAUUUCUAAUAUCUGUCCAUGAAUAACAAGGAUAUUAAAAGCUCUCUGAUAAAUAAUAGGAUAUACAUUUGGCCUGUGGUUAUUCCUGGUGAAAGAACCUCCUAAGCUGAAAGGACUGUUGUAAAAUAAUAUUCUUUCUCUGGAGAUAAUGUAGGAGGAUUUUUUUAGUUUCUGGAGGGUCUCUGCACUUGAGAGCCAAAUGAAAUACUCAGGGCUGUCAAAAUGCCCAGUUUGGCCCUGAAAAUAUCCCAUUCUCAUGGGAGUGCUUAGUGUCUGAGUUUUAAGGAAUAACAGAGGUGAUCAAGUUCACCUCACAGGGGAGUUUUGAAAGUAAUGUUAGGCUGUUUUUUAGUUUUAAAUCCUUAAAAUGUUAUGAAAAUACACAUCAAGGCAGGCUCAAUGUUUUGGUAGUAAUUCACUCAUGUAUAUCCCAUGUAUAAGAUAAUGGAAGUAUUGAGGUAAGUAAGCCUCACAUCAGAUCUCCUGUGUAGUAUCCAACCUGAUGACCAGCUGGGGCAGGAGUGAGAAUUGCCCCUGGGGAUAAUGUUGCACAAUGCACUAUGAUGAAAUUGCUAUUGUGUUCUAAAGUUGCAAACAUCAACCAUCAUACCUAGUAGGAUAGAGCUCUAGAAGGCUUAGAGAUGCACAUCAGACCCAUAACUGCUAUACUCCUGUAUCAGAAACUACUGCUGUUACAAUUGUGUAAUGACAACAAAUAUUAGCACUAGAUCUGUUGGCACUUGGAUUUUGGCUCUGUUCCUGUUUGUUGAGAUACAUAAAUUAAGAUAUACUUACUUUGAAAUCAUAGCAAAUUAUAUUACUUGCUCUGCUAAUUAAUCACCUCAGGAAAUCUACAGUCUUUUUACUCGAAUCAAAACAUUCAACCUCCCUAGAAGAGACUGGCAUAAAGCUUCUUCUGCUUUACCUAGAAAGCAUGCAAUUUUAUGUUUAUUUUCCAAAUCUAAGAACUAGAGUCCAUUUUUUUUCCUAGCUGGCUCCAUUAUAGGUACUGCUUAUGUUUAUGCUUUGAAUGUACCAAGACUGCUUUACAAAUGGAGCUUUUCUAAUCUGUUUAGGAUGAUGGUGAAGGCAGUUAGGAAAAGUUUCCUAUGUUGUAAGAAUUUAGAGAAUUUGGGUAGAAAGAUAUAUGAAGAUACAUAUAUAUAAGAUAUAUAUGUAAUGAUAUAUAUCCCCUCUUCUUUGAUAAGUUGUUAUUUAUUCAUUGUCAAAGGUGGUGAUAGAUUUCUCCUAGUAUGGUAAGUAUUCUCCCAGAUCGCAUGUUGCUUCAUUUGAUAUUUAGUACCCAGGAGUUAGAGAAUCUAUAAAAGGACAGUUCCUUCCUCCUCUCAUAGACUACAAGAGUAAUAUGUCAUGAAAUUAUACCCUCUGACAGACAUGAGAAGGAUUUACUCUCAAAAAUAAAACAAAAAAGAAGCAGUGUCAGAGUUCCUGUCGUGGCUCAGUGGUUAACGAACCUGACUGGCAUCCAUGAGGAUGCGAGUUUGAUCCCUGGCCUUGCUCAUUGGGUUAAGGAUUUGGCGUUGCCUUGAGCUGUGGUGUAGGUUGCAGAUGCAACUCAGAUCCCUUGCUGUGGCUGUGGCUGGUGGCUACAGCUCCAAUUUGACCCCUAGCCUGGGAACCUCCAUAUGCCACGGGAGUAGCCCUAG